UUCAGGAACUGGGUUGCUCUCUGACUUGAUCACGCGCGGCGUAGCUUUGGACCACGCGCGGCGUGAAGCCUUGCUGAAGAUGAAGAAUGCUCUCUGACUUGAUCGCGCGCCGCGUGAUUCUGUUAUCACGCGCGGCAUAGUGAUGGAGUUGCAACCACGCGCGGCGUGGUAGAUCUGGCGCGCGGCGUGGUUGCCUUCUGUAUAUAUAUUUUCUGCAUAAUUCUGUUUUUGGGGGUUGGAAAAUUCUGCAACUUUUCACUACAUUCUGGUCUUGGAACUUGAAGAUCGUGAUUCAACACUCCAGUGGAGAGCUCCAAGCGCAUCAAUCAUGGAUUCACGAGCCGUGGCGAUGAAGCGAGGAAGCGUACGAAGAACGAUGAGGAGCUAAACU
rnacentral:lncRNA from 1 species